rnacentral:rRNA from 1 species
AUGGCGGGCAAGGAGGAGGCGGGGAAGUUGAUGGUCAGUCCGGGCAGCGCUGCCAAUUCGGCGGAGGCCGGCGUCGAUGGUCCUGCGGCGGUGUUCUCCUCCGCCGCCGGAUUCAUCUACAAGGAGGGUGACGAGUCAGAGAAGGGGUUUGCUGCGAUUGAGAAGAUGCUUGGGGAGGCGAAUCUGUCAUCCAAUCAGCCAGCCGCAGCACCACCAGGUCCAAACAAGGGCAAGGUUCGGCUGUCGAAAGCCGAGAUUAGGAGCAUAAUUGCCCUGAAGCCGGAGCAACAACCCAGCGCGGAUUACCUGGACGAUCUGGCAGAGUAUUUCCCUCCGGAGUGGAUUGAGGAAAGGAAGCGUGCCCACGCCGACAGCGUAAAGCUUUUCAAGAAGAUGGACGAUGAUUUCGAAGAGUACAGGCAGCAGGUCAUCGCGUCUGUGCGGGACAAGGGCUACUUCGAGGUCGAUGAAGACUUCAUCGCCAAGAGGGAAAGAGACAAUGAGUUGUGUCUCGAACAACAGAGGAGGAUUCGGGCGGCUAAUCCCUGUAGCCGCAAGUAUGUUGCUAGCCCGGAGGACACAGACGGUUAUAUUCCCUACGUUCCUACGAAAGCUGACGCUCUUGUUGAUUAUGUCGUCAUUGAUGAUGAAGUUGUGUUUCUUAAAGAUUAG